GAUGAAGAACGCAGCGAAAUGCGAUAACUAAUGUGAAUUGCAGAAUUCCGUGAAUCAUCGAGUCUUUGAACGCACAUUGCGCCCCUUGGUAUUCCGAGGGGCAUGCCUGUUCGAGCGUCAUUUCAACCCUCAAGCACAGCUUGGUCUUGGGCUUCGCCGCUAACCCGGCGGGUCUUAAAAUCAGUGGCGGUGCCGUCGGGCCCUGAGCGCAGUAAUCUCUCUCGCUAUAGGGUCCCGGCGGAUGCUGGCCAGUAACCCCCAAUUUUCUAUGGUUGACCUCGGAUCAGGUAGGGAUACCCGCUGAACUUAAGCAUAUCAAUAAGCGGAGGA
rnacentral:misc_RNA from 1 species